GUUGGAGGAGGUGGGGAGGCGUAGAUGUAUGCCGGUGGUGGAGGUGACUUUACGGGUGGUGGAGGUGAUGAGUAGACAUAUGGUGGUGGCGGUGAUUUUACAGGUGGUGGAGGUGAUGAGUAGACAUAUGGUGGUGGUGGUGACUUCACAGGUGGUGGAGGUGAUGAGUAGACAUAUGGUGGUGGAGGUGACUUCACAGGUGGUGGAGGUGAUGAGUACACGUACGGUGGUGGCGGUGACUUCACGGGUGGUGGAGGUGAUGAGUACACGUACGGUGGUGGUGGUGACUUCACGGGUGGUGGAGGUGAUGAGUACACGUAAGGUGGUGGUGGUGGUGACUUCACGGGUGGGGGAGGUGAUGAGUACACGUAUGGUGGGGGUGGUGAUUUUACGGGUGGUGGAGGUGAUGAGUAGACAUAUGGUGGUGGCGGUGACUUCACGGGUGGUGGAGGUGAUGAGUACACGUAAGGUGGUGGUGGUGACUUCACGGGCGGAGGAGGUGAUGAGUACACGUAUGGUGGUGGUGGUGACUUCACGGGUGGUGGAGGUGAUGAGUACACAUACGGUGGUGGUGGUGACUUCACUGGUGGGGGAGGUGAUGAGUACACGUAUGGUGGUGGCGGUGACGUUACGGGUGGUGGAGGUGAUGAGUAGACGUAUAGUGGCGG
rnacentral:lncRNA from 1 species